ACUAGGCAACCGCAGCCAGUGGCGCCCGAGGUCGGCGCGAGAAAAAAGUCUUUUGAGCUUUUGGAGCCGCCGUCGUCGUUAUUAGCACCACGUUCAAAGAACAAGACAGAAGGCGGGCAAUGAGAAGCUCGGCGAAGGUAAGGAUGGCUGUCCAGCGGGAUCAAAUCAGGUUCAGUUCGGGCUAAUCUUAGUACAUGCUGCUGCCUCAACUCUGGGAUGGAGUACAUAAACAGCUCCACUGAAUCUGGGACCACUUCAGAACUGCAAUGCCAGACUGGUACAGGAUUACAGUAACUGUGUAGAUGAGCUCUUAGUUGGUAUAAAAGUUCCUUUUAACAAAAACCAACACAUGUAACAACAUUUAACACAGGGAAGGUUCUGUGCCUCCUUUGGAUAUUGAGCUAGUUUCCCACCAUCCUUCACCAUUGGUUGUGCUGACAAGGAUUUUUGGAAGUUGCAAUACAUGCUUAUUGGAGGGUAUGCAAAAUAUCCAACCCCUGUUUGAUAAGAUCAGUUGCUUGUCAGUGAACGACAACAACAAAUGUAUAAAGACAAAUGAGGGAAAGGUGCGCUUUGUUUCACAGCAGCACCCCAACAUCUCCUUGAAUGGCAUAUGAAAACAUUGAAAGUCAACAAACUAAAGAUUAAGUUAUUUGUGAAUCGAGAUGUAAAUGUCUAAUUUGGUACAGUAGAGUCUCACUUAUACAACAUAAACGGGCCAGUAGAAUGUUGGAUAAGUGAAAAUGUUGGAUAAUAAGGAAGGAUUAAGGAAAAGCCUAUUAAAUGUCAAAUUACGUUAUGGUUUUACAAAUGAAGCACCAAAAUAUCAUGUUUUACAACAAAUUGAUAAAGCAGUUUAAUAUACAGUAACGUUAUGUAGUAAUUACUGUAUUUACAAAUUUAGCACCAAAACAUCGCAAUAUAUUGAAAACAUUGACUACUAAAAGGCAGACUGCGUUGGAUAAUCCAGAACGUUGGAUAAGCGAAUGUUGGAUAAGUGAGACUCUACUGUACUUUAUUAUUCUAAUAAAGCUUUUGCUAGUCUUAUAGGCAGUAAUGCAAACAUUCCACUAGAUGGCACUUUGUCAUCACUUGCAAAAAGCAGGAGAGCAAGGACAAUUUUGUGUCACCUUUAAGAUCUGUUGUGACCCACAUGUCAUGUUAUACUCUGCUGACUUUGUGUGUGUAUAUAUACACACUCACACACAUGCACAUGCAUACAUAUGGCUACCAAAAUAAAACAUUUGUCUGAAAAGGAAAAAAUAAAAGACUCAAAUGUGGUUUUCAGCUUCUCUAUGGAAAACUCACUUGUAUAAAAGAGUAUAGGGAUUCAUUCAUAACAGCAGACAAUAGCCAAUCAUUCUAUUCUCUGCUUAUUUAACAUCUUCAGUGCUAUUAACAUAACAUUGCUGAAAAGGCAGUAUAAUCACUCAUUAUUAUUCUGAAUGUUUUUCUUGUUCAUGUCGUGUAUACAUUUGGUUAUGUACAGAAAAGCCAGCAACUUACUAAAACCUCUUUCGUUACCAUUACCUUUUCCAUUCCCAUGUAUAUUGCUAUACAGAUAUUAAAUUUGCCAAAGAGGGAAAACAAACCUGUCAAGGCUUAUGACGGCAUUAUCGUGUCUGAAGAUGUUUAUUAAGAAAGAAAUCCAAUUAAAUUAUGAGAAUUUCAAUCCUUAGCUUUGAACUACAGUUUAAUGCCCACCCAACUGUGGAUCCAUAGGAUAUGGCACAAACAUAAUACAGUGCAGAUGCUGCUCUGUUGUCGAAAGGAGAUCCCCAGACAGCAUUUACCUCUGAGAGAUUCUCUAAUAUGCCAACAGAAAACUCUGCUGCCAAUAGUAAUGAAGGUCUUUCUCCUAGGAUAGUGAAUGUCAAGUUAGGGUGCAUCUAUACCAGGGGUUCCCAAACUAAGGCCCGGGGGCCGGAUGCGGCCCAUCGAAGCCAUUUAUCCGGCCCCCAUGGCACAAGGGCAAAAGGGGGUUGGGCUAAAUGACCCAAGGGGUCUCUUCUUCUCUUCCAACCCCCCCUUCCUCCUCCUCCUCCUCCUCCUCCUUCACAUUGAGGCUGGGUGGCCAUCUGUCAGGGGUGCUUUGCUUGUGCUUUUGGUGCACAGAGGCAGAAGGGGAUUGGACUAAAUGUCCCAAGGGGUCUCUUCCAACCCUUAUUAUUAUUAUUAUUAUUAUUAUUAUUAUUAUUAUUAUUAUUAUUAUUAACAUUGAGGCUGGGUGGCCAUCUGUCAGGGGUGCUUUGCUUGUGCUUUUGGUGCACAAAGGCAGAAGGGGAUUGGACUAAAUGUCCCAAGAGGUCUCUUCCAACCCUCUUUAUUAUUAUUAUUAUUAUUAUUAUUAUUAUUAUUAUUAUUAUUUUAUUAUGUUAUUAUUUUUUUAUUAUUAUUUUAUUAUGUCACAGCAAACAAGAUAGAUAUGCUGGAUUUCGUAUCUCAAAAUCACAAGUCGAACACUUCUCAAGUGUCUAGGACGGUGUGAUUUAUUUUCGGAUGAUGCGCGCAGAUCCCAGUAGGUGGCCUUUUGCAGCUGGCAGAUCGUAAUUUUAUUACUAUUAUUAUUAUUAACAUUGAGGCUGGGUGGCCAUCUGUCAGGGGUGCUUUGCUUGUGCUUUCGGUGCACAAAGGCAGAAGGGGAUUGGACUCAAUGGCCCAAAGGGUCUCUUCCAACCCUCUUUUUUAUUGUUGUUGUUGUUGUUAUUAUUGCUCAGUGGCCAACUAUAGUCCGGCCCUCCAAUGGUCCGAAGGAUCGUGAACUGGCCCCCUGUUUAAAAAGUUUGGGGACCCCUGAUCUGUACCAUAGAAUUAAUGCAGUUUGACACCACAUGGAUCAAUGCUAGGAAAUCCUGGAAGCUGUAGUUUUACAAGGUCUUUAGCCUCCUUUGCCAAAGAGUACUGGUGCUUCAUCAAACUACAGCCACUCAUAUUGAGCCAUGGCAGGUAAAGUGGUGCCAAACUGCAUUAAUUCUACAGUGUAGAUGGACUCAUAAUUUUCUCCUCGUAAUGCCAAUACUCACUGGAUCAAUUUGUAUUGAGUGCGUUCCAUUGGAGGAAAAGAAAAGCAGAAGAAACUUUCAAUCUUGGCAUUGGAAAACUACCAUGUUUAAUCAAUUCUAGGAUGCCAUUGAUUCUAAGGGAGCCCCCGGUGGCGCAGUAUGUUAAAGCACUGAGCUGCUGAACUUGCAGACCAAAAGAUCACAGGUUCGAAUCCGGGGAGUGGAGUGAGUGCCUGCUAUUCGCUCCAGCUUCUGCCAACCUAGCAGUUUGAAAACAUGCAAAAUGUGAGUAGAUCAAUAGGUACCUCUCCGUCAGGAAGGUAACGGCGCUGCAUGCAGUCAUGCCAGCCACAUGACCUUGGAGGUGUUUACGGACAACGCCGGCUCUUCGGCUUAGAAAUGGAGAUGAGCACCAACCCCCAGAGUCGGACACGACUGGACUUAAUGUCAGGGGAAACACCAAACUAAAACACCAAUUUCAGUAUCACAAACAGGAAAAAAAUAUUUAUAUAUAUAGAAAGCACCUGUGAUUCUAAGAAGCAUCUUGGUUUUCAAAAUGUUUAUAUAGGUGGAAAGUGUUACCUUAGAAUUGAUGAAAUACAGUAAUUGUGUUUUACCACCAUGGAGUUCUCUCACAGACGCCCACAUAGGAUUGUUCUGCCAAUUUUUUAGUCUUUAAAAUGCCCAAAGACAUCAACAUUUGUUCUGCGGCAACCACCGUGGAAACUCAAUUGAGCUAGAUGCAGUUUAGAGAGGGUAGCUUCACAGUACAUUCUGCGUAGGUGGGGAGAAAUCAACCAAACAGUACCGCUGUGUCUUCUUUGUCCAUUAUGUGCUGGAUUCGUGGGUUCACAACUUUCUUAGAAACGUAUGUGAAAAUAUUUAUAACAUGUAGCCCUUGAGUCCACAGUGUCUUAAGUUAGGCAGUCUUCCAAACUCAAGGUACAUGCCUUCCAUCCUUUGGAGAUUUUGCAUACUGUUAACCUUAGUUAACAUGAUGCAAAUAAAUCCAUGGUGGGGAUAGUGUGGUCUUCCAGAGUGGCUCACAUUGCCAUGCCCCUCCUAGCAUUCUAAUGCUCUUAUGUCAAGCCACUUUGAGUCCCCUUUGGAGAGAUAAAACGAGGUAUUAUUAUUAUUAUUAUUAUUAUUAUUAUUAAAGUAAAGUCAGGUAUUUAGGACCACGUUAGGGAAUAAAUCCCACAUUAUUUACCAUGUUAUUCCAGAUCCUGACUGAAGGAUAAACUACCAUCUCCUCGUGUAUGUGUUUUAGGAGUGGGGAUUGUGUGACUUUCCAGAUGUUAUUGAAUUUUCAACUCCUAGCAUUCCUGCCAUUGGCUAUGAUGCCUAAAGCUGCUGGAAAUUCAUUGUGGGACUGAAACUCGGAGCAGCCUUAGGCCAGUGGUGAGGAAAGCUAGGAGCUGCAAUUAUAUAUCAUUUUAAACUGAUGUUAGGUGUUUUUAACUGGUACUUGUUUUUAAUCUGCUGUUGUUGCCCACUUAAAUCAAUGAGGACAGCAGGCAGGAUGAUAUUAUUAUUAUUAUUAUUAUUAUUAUUAUUAUUAUUAUCAUUAUUAUUAUUCCAAGACUAUCUGGGGGCUCAAAGUUGUCCACACCUGCGCUAAGAGAUGGUCUUGAAACAUUCCUCUUCCUCUGGGAAAGCUCACCACAAAAGUUUUGUGUUUCCAAAAAUUUACUGCAGCUGUGUUCCCAAGCUUAUUUGUUUGAAAAUAAGUUCUUGCUAGAUCAGCACUUAGGGUAUUUAACUGUUGAUUUGCUUUGGUGUAUAUUCCACCUUUUUCCCAAAGUGGAAACCAAAGCAGCAAGACUUUUGCAAAUCAAGUGAAUAAGUAGCUGCUUGUUUUGUAUUAACUGUUGGAAUUGGUUAACACGGAGAAAAGAGAAGAUGCAAAACAAAUGGAAAAUCAUGCAGCCUUGAAGACAAUGCUUGUUUUCCCCUCCCAGCAUUCUUCCUCCUUAUAUAUGCUGGUUAUGGUUGGUGGCAUAUGCAGUCCAGCAGCAUCUGGAAGCAUAUUCAGACCCCUUUCCUAUUUCAGAAUAUGGGCCAAAAUAAGUACCAUAUUGAGCAAGAGCAUUCAGUUCAAAAUUACCCCAAGUAAACGUACUAGGAAACAUAAAAAUCACUCCCAAGUACUUUGAAGACUAACAAGUUGAAGCAGUAAUUGCACAGACAUGCCAGUGGAGGAUCCUAACAAUUUGUUCUGACCUCAAAUGUGGUUCAGCUAAAAAUAGUUUUCUUUUAAAAUUCAAGGAUGAGAAAGUGAAACAUCAAAUUCAGAUCAGCUGAGCAACCAUUAAACACAAGAAAUGUAAGAACUUGAAAAAUGGGAAGGGGGGGGGUGACAGUUACGGCAGCUGGCUAACCAAGAAUAAAAAAUGAAUCAUCAGACAUACUAUUUAUAAUGACUAAUAGCAAUGCAAUUAGACAACAGCAAUACAGUCAUGCAAACAUGCCUGGCAACAUUUGGGCCAAGUUCAUUAUAACUUCAUAUAGAUUGAGUAUCCCUUGUCCAAAAUGCUUUGGACCAGAAUACCCUUAUUUGCAUAUAUGUACAGAGUGAAAUGUCUUGGAGAUGGUACCCAAGCCAUUCAUGUUUCAUAUGGAUCUUUUUUUACUCUUAGCCUAAAGAUUAUUAUAUAAACUAUAUUUUUUUUAAAAAAAAUUGCACAUGAAGAAAAGUUUGUGUACAUUGAACUAUCAGAAAGCAAAGGUCUCACCAUCUCAGCCACCCGUGUAGGCAGAUUCAUAUUCUAGAAUAAUUCAAGAUUCUGGAUAAAAGAUGCUCAACCUAUAUUUCAAACACAAUGGCUUCCAAAUUCUUCCAUACCAUUUGGAAUGCAGUCACUCAAAUAUAAUUCCAUUUAGCUGAAUGAGAUUUUGGGUGCAUCUGAACUGGGGAUUUGAUGUGGAAUUAUCAUCCUUUGUGCACAUGUUUCUUAAAAGGCACCCAUAUAGAACUUGUGAUCUUUAAAAACUCUUAUUAGAGUUCCAGCAGAGGUUUUUAUCAUCAGCAUGUGAAGGGAUGAAAAGAAGCAAGGCAGACACAAGAGAGCUGGGUUUUGACUUGGCAGAUGCAGCCUCCACUCCCAGCUCUGCCUUCUCCCUUCUCUUUUGGCAUUAAACUUUUAAAGGGUUUUAUUUUCACCAAAAGAGGCUUUUUAAAAGCAUAGUUGCUACUUGGAGGCCAGAACCAAGCAUGGAGAUCCUGAGGGCUGCGUCCAGCCCUGAUAUAUAGUUCCAUUUUUAACAGCUAUUGAGUCUUUCAGUUUGUCCAUUAAAACUUCAAUCAAGCCUUUAAAACUGGAUUUUGAGACUUCAGCUUUUAACCACUUCCUUACAAAACAUUGCCUAAUUUUAGUGAGAUAGGCUUGAAAUUUGUCCUCUGCACCUUAAAAGUGCUGAACUAUAUUCCUGCAGGAUUACCAGCUUUUCAGGAUGGUCAUUGUAUCUAUGCCCUUAACAGCAGCCUGAUACUCAGGCAAUAAUGUUUAUGUCCAAACUGUGAAAACUUCUGUGGAUAGAAAUCUGUUUCAUAUUUGAACAUCGUAAUGUAAAUCCCUGGGAUUUAAAAGUCGACCUUACUGCUGAAAUCAGCAGCUGAAACCUUUAACAGCCUGAAUGUAAAUAUUAUUGCUUUCUACUAUUUGCACACAAAGCUUCUGUUAGAUACUACUCCAGUAAGUCCACUGCAUCCACAUUCAACCAUGCACGGCUUUAAAAAACAAACCAACCCAAAAGCAAACCUUGAUUUUGCCAUUUGAUAAAAUCAAUACCAUUUUACCACAACAUUGAAUAUAAUGGGAUUAAAGCAUCUAUGGAUUUUUGUACUCAUUGGUGACCUUGGAACCAAAUUGCAGCGGAACGUGUUGGCCCACUGUACUUCAUUCCGAAUCCAUCCUACCUUAUAAAGCCACUUGGCUAUGACAAGUAGAAUAGCAUUUAUGGGGAUAUGUUUCCAUGUAUACUUGGAUAUAUUCUGGCAAUGUCUGUUGUAAACACCAGUGGCAAAUCCAAAGUAGCCCAAUAUGACUUCACAAGCUCUGCCAAACACAGCUGGAAUGUGUUUGGCAAAAGGAAAUGUCCAGAGUGAGAGAACCUGGGGAGAAACUUAUUUUCUUUCCUUGCAAAAAUGGAUUGAGACAUGAAAAUUACAUUCCUCAGUGUGUGGAGACCUGGCUAUCCGAAAUUUAACUGGGAAAGGGCAAAAUAAAAGAAAACAUAUGUGCAUUUUCUAAAUUGUUUAUUUGUUCAUUUGAUUUAUAUCCCACUUUUCUCCCAGUAUGGGUCCACAAAGCACAACACAACUUUAUAUUAGAAAAUGUAGAGAGCCAAAGCAAGUGUUUUUAAUAAGGACUGCAGUUUUGGAACCAUUUUUUUCUGAUUAGUGUGAUUUCUUCCACAUUUUGUAUUGUUUUCAGGCAUAGUAUAAUUCCACUUUUCACAGAAGUUGAACUUAUCCAACAUCUACACACAGUAAUACAAUUCCAUUUAAAGCUACAGAGUAGAAGCAUUGUAAUUAUUUCAGCAACAAAACCAGUUAAUAUGUUAAUUCCUUUUUCCAAGAUCCACAUCUUAAAAUUCAGUUACAUCUUCUCCCCUUUUUAAUAGUCUCCCAGAGGGAACAUAUUUCUGUGUUCAAGCACAGAUUUUUACAUGCAAAAUGUUAUGGUUGAGCCUUCUGGCUCCGAUACUAGGAGACGAGGUCGUAAGACUCCUCGAGAGUCAGACUCUUUUGAGGAGCGCGAAAGGAAACGGCUCCGAGACUUAUUUGCAGAACCAACAGACGAAGACUCCUUUGAGGGUUUUACCAAGGGAAUGGAGGAAGAGAUGGUUAGCUCAGAGGAGGAUGAUAUGGAAUGGACUCGUGGGAGGGAGGAUUUGGGUGUCACCGGCAAUGAUAGCAUGGGAGGCGACUGGCGGGUUGCAGGAUCGGACCCAUGGACGGGCUGGAGGGAUGGAGCAGGAUCCACAGCUGGGGAUGCUGUGGGGCGUAGUCAAAGGUGUUUUAGCUCUGAUGAGGAUGAUGAUGAGGAGGCACCUGGAAUUAGGAUAGCAGCUGACAGCGAUGAGGAGUUAUGAACUGGCAUAAAAUGGGGUUUAGGAUCAAUGGCUAAUUGCGUUGGGCAAGGUAAUCUGGACGAACGCUUGGGCUCUUGUUGGGGAACUUCCUGAAGACGGGUGUGAUUCGUUGCUGGAUA